rnacentral:misc_RNA from 1 species
UACGGAGGGGGCAAGCGUUGUUCGGAAUUACUGGGCGUAAAGGGCGUGUAGGCGGCCAUUCAAGUCAGACGUGAAAGACCUGGGCUUAACCGAGGAUGUGCGUAUGAUACUGAGUGGCUUGAGAUCUGGAGAGGAAAGCAGAAUUCCCAGUGUAGAGGUGAAAUUCGUAGAUAUUGGGAGGAAUACCAGUGGCGAAGGCGGCUUUCUGGACAGAAUCUGACGCUGAGGCGCGAAAGCGUGGGGAGCAAACAGG